CCUACGGGUGGCUGCAGUGAGGAAUAUUGGUCAAUGGGCGAGAGCCUGAACCAGCCAAGUAGCGUGAAGGAUGACUGCCCUACGGGUUGUAAACCUCUUUUAUAAAGGAAUAAAGUGAGGCACGCGUGCCUCUUCGUAAGUACUUUAUGAAUAAGGAUCGGCUAACUCCGUGCCAGCAGCCGCGGUAAUACGGAGGAUCCGAGCGUUAUCCGGAUUUAUUGGGUUUAAAGGGAGUGUAGAUGGGUUGUUAAGUCAGUUGUGAAAAUUUGCGGCUCAACCGUAAAAUUGCAAUUGAAACUGGCAGUCUUGAGUACAGUUGAGAUAAGCGGAAUUCGUGGUGUAGCGGUGAAA
rnacentral:rRNA from 1 species